rnacentral:lncRNA from 1 species
AUGACAAAAUAAACACUAUCUCCCCAUGUUUUAAACUAGCUACUUUAAGUCCACACAACACAAACCCGUCUAUGGCUAGAAAGUCCGAUUUUUUUCUUAUGUAUUUCCGGUACACCCAAAUUGACGUACUCCUCCCCCCCAGUGUCUGAUGAGGGAAAUGUAACACAAUGUAGCAACGCCCACUUCCGCUCUACUUCCUACCCGAUACAUAGCUUCCUGUCCCGAUCACGUCCUGUCAGCCUGAUUGUAGCCAUAGCAGCUUCGAAGUCCCUCGUUUUAUUAUCUCAGUAUAUUAAUAUAAUCAUAUUUUUAUAGCGUUUUUUUAUUGUUAUAAUUCUUGUUGAAAAUUAUGUUUAUCCCUUCAGUUAGGGAUUUUUGUAAUUCGAUUAUUUUGUUCUGUGUCUUUUUUGGUCUCUUCGCUAGCUAGCUAUUAACAUUCUAACUAGUAAGGUGACUCGCAAUUAGCCAACGCCUCCCUCCCCUACCAAUCAUGGCACUGCUUUACUCAGGACGCUCGUAAAAGCUACCAAAGAUCACAUUGACGGAUGUACAUCGUCUGGCCAAGAUAAGUAGCAAAGCACCGAACUCCAAGUUAAAAACAAGGAUUCAAACUUUGUGUCCAGUUACCUUUUCAACUACGAAGCUUCGAACAGGGCCAACGUGACAGGAGAGCCCUCUGAGCCAGUAACAAUGACACAUCACCACACAGUUGCAUUACUAUUCCAGUCUGCACACUAAGAUGGGAACACCAGUCAUCCCAUCUGUGCACAGCUGCACAGAGGCCGAGCAGCAGUGGCAUAAGCCAAGGACUAUGGGUCUGCAACCUGGGCCCAUAGGCAAAAUGACCAUCACCAAGGCCACCAAAAAGCGCAUGGCAGAAGGAGGGAUUAGGUGGUUUCAAGUACAUUGUUUAGAUUGGCUAACCACAGCGGCUGCUUUGCGGAAGUACAGCGCCCUUUUUGGAACGCUCCCUGACCUCUCAGUUCUCCAGAUAGAAGAGGCAUACAAGAACUUUGACCCUCUAUCCAAACCAUUGAUCUGCAGCAUGGGGAUGAAGGCUGAAAAGCUUUUAGGUGACUCCCACUUUGGAAGGGUAUAGUUGGAGAGCCUCCUGUCUUACCAGCAGCCUCCAAUCACAAUGUGACCAUAGUUCACUAUAAGGAGACACCACCAUUCCCUUUACUGCCCCUGGAUGGCUACAGACUGGAGAGCAACUUUCAAGGCUGCACUUGUGCUCAAUGAAGAAGACCAGCUUCACAUAGUCUCUUCAGGUGAGAGAAUACAUAGAGACCCAGCGGUGUUCUCACUAAUUAGAGAGAAGGGUGACUGGUACUACUUAUGUGUACAUGCAAAAGUUCUUAGGCAGGAAAGACUAAAUAACAAGGGACAGGCUCCUUUAUCUUUCAAUUAAUGAAAGGGAAACAAAUCAACAUCUGUCUGUGCAAUUCAUUAAUAAUUUAAAAUAAUUCAGUAAAAUGUUUCUGUUCUCAUCACUGUAAAUAAAAACUCUUUAUAACAUUUUGUUUGGAGUAUAAGCAGAGGUGUUUAUUAUCAAUAAAGGGACUACUGGUGUUAGACAAUGUGGAUGGUCACAGCAAAAAAAGGAAAGAUGCAUUGCAGUAGUAGCUCAUUGCUCCUUGGCCCAUGCCUUCACAAGAGGCCUAAACUGGUAGUUUUGUGAGAAGGCAAGCCACAGCCCAGAUGCAGUUGAUGCUUCCCAUCAGUGACAUGAGGAUCUCUUGGACAUGGUAAUAUUCCACUGGAAUAGCAAAGGUACUGCUCCCUUUUUUAGACGUCGAAGCCCACUAAGGUUCAAUGAAAUCUUCUUAAAUUCCUAACUUUCAAUAAAGAUGCCGCACCAACUAAUAAUGUUAACGUCCUUAGCACUAACGUUAGCUAGGUACUGGUAGGUAACGUUUGCUAGCUAAAUAGACAAAAGACAGAACCCAAUCGAAUUACAAAAAUCUAUAGAAAUAUGAUUAUAUUAAUAUACUGGGGGUAAUGAUAAAAUGAGCGACUUCGAGGCUAGUAUGGCUGACAAGUAGUGAUGGGUCGUUCACGAACAAGUUGGCUCUAAGAGCCGGCUCGCAUAUCAGAAGAGCCUAAUCUAUUUACAAAAAAAUGAAGAUAUGAAUAAUCAAAAGAUUUUAAAUGAAUAGAAUUAACUAAUUCAAAGAACGAAAAAAGAAAUAAAAGAAUAUAGGCCUACAUACUCAAGUGCACACAUUCGUUCUGACUGUCUGCUCAGACUUAACAGCUUUACCUGUUGUUCCUGUCAAUCAGACACGCAAUGUCAACCAAUGAACCGCGAGGAAGGGCUGAGCCAACUGUCACAGUCACACACUUAGCAGCCGAGGAGAGAGAGGAAGGACAGCUGUGAAAACAACAGCUGGAAAAUGAGUUGGAAGCACAGUAGCAUUUGGAUGCAUUUGUUAGAGCACAGUGUACAAUUUGCCAAAACAAAAUCUCAUAUAAAGCCGGUUCUACGCACAACCUACACCGGCAUAUGCGAACUGUGCACCCAACUGUGAAGCUAGCUGUAGCGAAGCUUCAAGAAGCUAGCGGGCCUGCUAGUGAUAGUGGUGGAGCCACCACCUCCACACGUGGAGAUGUAUCCACUCAGUCAAGUAGGCCUACACCGCGACCCACAGCAACGCAGUCUUCAAUGGACCAGUUUAUGCCAACGUCUAUGCAGCAAAACAAGGCCAAAUUGAUAUUGCAUUGGCUAAAAUGAUUGGCACCGAUUUCCAGCCAUUUUCGAUCGUGGAGGACAGCGGUUUUAGAAAUUAUCACAAUAGUCUAAAUCCAAUGUACACAAUUCCAAGCAGGAAAACCCUUUUAAAAUCACUUAUUCCACAACUGUACGAGAGCACACUGGCUUCAGUGCGGGAAAGAGUCCAAAAUGCUACUGCAGUUUGCCUUACCACUGACGGUUACAUGUCACUUCAUUGAAGAUUUUUCAAUGUCUAGGUGUCUUCUGGACUGCUUUGAGUUCAGCGACAGACACCUCAGAGGAACUGUUGAGAGUGGCCAGAGAAUGGCAAGUAGAUGGAAAAGUGGUCUGUUGUGUUAGCUACAAUGCAGCUAACAUAACCAAAGCAAUGAACAUUUUAAAAUAGACCCAUCAUCCAUGUCUUUCCCACACAAUCAACCUGAUUGUAAGAGAUGCUCUGAAGGUGAUGAAGCCCACUGGACAAAGUGAAAGGAGCUGUGGAAUACUUCCACAGGAGCACAGUAGGUGCUGAAAACUAAAGUCUACACAACACCAGAUGGGGAUGCCUGAGCUGAGACCUAAACAAGACUGCACCACAAGGUGGAAUUCAACAUUUUAUAUGUUGAAGCGGUUUCUUGAGUCAAAGGAUGCCAUCAUCUCUACCCUGGCCAUUGUACCUACAUUUACAUUACAUUUUAGCCAUUUAGCAGACGCUCUUAUCCAGAGCGACUUACAGUAGUGAAUACAUACAUUUCAUGCAUUUUUGUUAUUUUUUUUGUACUGGCCCCCCGUGGGAAUCGAACCCACAACCCUGGCGUUGCACACACCAUGCUGGCUUUGCAAACACCAUGCUCUACCAACUGAGCCACAGGGAAGCCUGUUGAAGCCUGUUGAUGCUCUGACCCAAGAGGAAUGGGAGGUGGUGGAGGAGGUGUGCAGAGUCCUGGAACCCUUUGAGCAGCUAUGUGACAGCCUCAAAAAUGAUACUCCUGUGUAAGGGUCUGCAGUGAUCACAGCCAGCCGCCAGAGAGAAGCAAAUGUUACCACAGGACAUGUGACAGAGUUGAUGGACACCCUAUGUUCAUCAACAGACAGAAAGUUCCAUAGAAUGGAAUAUAAUCAUGUGCUAUCAGAAACCGCUGCACUUGACCCCAGGUUUAAGAAGUUAGCCUUCAGUGAUGCCAGAGUGAUUGAUGAGGCUCUUCAAAGAAUAACCUCAGCAGCAGGGAGGGACAACCCCAGCAGUCAGCUGGCUCGGGCAACAGGAAGAAGAGGGAUCAGAUGGAGCAGAAGCACCAGCAGUAGUGCCACAAACGUCUGCUGUUUAUAUGCUUUUUUGACGAGAGCAACUGGGGAUGCAGCACGAAGGAAUCCCUCAGCCAUAAUGGAGGUCCGAUCCUAUUUGGAGGAGGCCCUCCAAAGAUCUGCAGAUCCUCUGAGCUGGUGGAAGAACAAGGCCUCGGUCUACCCACGGCUUACUAAAGUCAUGACAGGGAGACUCUGCAUAUUGGCCACAUCCAUUCCCUCUGAGUUGGUCUUCUUGAAAACGGGACAAAUAAUUACUGAGAGAAGAAACCGCAUCAGCCCCUCAAAAGUGAGGUAGCUUGCAUUUCUGAUUGCAAAUCUCUCAUAAACGCAAAAUAUGGUCAGCAUUGCUGUGUGCUGCUGGUUAUAACAUGGCAAUAAAGAAUAGAGCGAAAAGUGGGACCAGUUUAGUGUUUUAAGUAGGAUGCUGCAGUUUUGCACAUUAUUUAUUUUUCUUUGAUCUGGUGCAAUAUUCUAUUGUUAUGUUCAGAUUGUAUUCGUUUUGAAUUGUUAGAUUUAUAUGCACUUUGUUAAUAUACUUUAAAUGCAAAUGUUUAAUAGCAUUCUUUUUCAUAACAAACCAAUGCAUUCAUUAAAUACAUUGUGGUUAUGGUAGAGUAGGAUUUCAUUUCAUUUAAUUAGAAUUGUUUUAACACCAAUCAUAGUCAAACUAUUGCAAACUGUUUGACUUGAAAAAAUACAUAUAUACUUUUUUAAACAGACGUUUGGGCGCCAAAAGACCCGGCUCUUUUUGGUGAGCUGAGCCGAACGAGCCGGCUCACUGAAAAGAGCCGGAAUGCCCAUCACUACUGGCAAGACGCGAUCGGGACAGGAAGCUAUGUAUCGGGUAGGAAGUUGAGCGUUAGUGGGCGUUGCUAUGUUGUGCAAAAGUCUAUCUACAAUAUGAAUGUGAACUCAAUCCCCCAAAACUGAUAUCACGUGUAGCCUAGUCAAUAACCCACAACUGGUCAGUGUGAUUGUGUAUGGGUAAAUUUCGGCGUAACAUAAUUUAAUACUAAAUAAAAAUGAUUGGUUUUAUGUUUUCACACAUCAUUUUCUUUACCACUUGAUGUCAACAAAGCACAUUUGUGUGUCACUUUUAUUUAACCAUAACACACACUUUUAGCUCUGUACACAAACAUUUGAGGCCCAAAUAAAAUAGUGUUAAAUAUAAUAGAAAUAACUAUUCGUCACAAUUUUUU